CGCGAGAUCAUCGGACUAGUUUCAUGUGCAUCUUGUCCGUUCUGAGUGCAUGAAGCGAAACCUUCGGAAUCGGACUGAGCAUGGACUCUCCUGGCUGACAACGAUUUCGGACGCGGGUUCGACUCCCGCCGCCUCCACCA
rnacentral:tmRNA from 1 species